GAGGGCGGGGCGUCGCGGACCGUGCGCGGCCUGGAUCAGGCUGCGGCGGGCGCUUCCUUGACGUCCAGUUCGAAGCUGGUCGCGUUCUC
rnacentral:tRNA from 1 species